rnacentral:rRNA from 1 species
GAUGAACGCUGGCGGCGUGCCUAAUACAUGCAAGUCGAGCGAAUGGAUUGAGAGCUUGCUCUUAUGAAGUUAGCGGCGGACGGGUGAGUAACACGUGGGUAACCUGCCCAUAAGACUGGGAUAACUCCGGGAAACCGGGGCUAAUACCGGAUAACAUUUUGAACCGCAUGGUUCGAAAUUGAAAGGCGGCUUCGGCUGUCACUUAUGGAUGGACCCGCGUCGCAUUAGCUAGUUGGUGAGGUAACGGCUCACCAAGGCAACGAUGCGUAGCCGACCUGAGAGGGUGAUCGGCCACACUGGGACUGAGACACGGUCCAGACUCCUACGGGAGGCAGCAGUAGGGAAUCUUCCGCAAUGGACGAAAGUCUGACGGAGCAACGCCGCGUGAGUGAUGAAGGCUUUCGGGUCGUAAAACUCUGUUGUUAGGGAAGAACAAGUGCUAGUUGAAUAAGCUGACACCUUGACGGUGCCUAACCAGAAAGCCACGGCUAACUACGUGCCAGCAGCCGCCGUAA